rnacentral:rRNA from 1 species
ACCCGCUGAACUUAAGCAUAUCAAUAAGCGGAGGAAAAGAAACCAACAGGGAUUGCCCUAGUAACGGCGAGUGAAGCGGCAACAGCUCAAAUUUGAAAUCUGGCUCUUUUAGAGUCCGAGUUGUAAUUUGCAGAGGGCGCUUUGGCUUUGGCAGCGGUCCAAGUUCCUUGGAACAGGACGUCACAGAGGGUGAGAAUCCCGUACGUGGUCGCUGACUAUUGCCGUGUAAAGCCCCUUCGACGAGUCGAGUUGUUUGGGAAUGCAGCUCUAAAUGGGAGGUACAUUUCUUCUAAAGCUAAAUAUUGGCCAGAGACCGAUAGCGCACAAGUAGAGUGAUCGAAAGAUGAAAAGCACUUUGGAAAGAGAGUCAAACAGCACGUGAAAUUGUUGAAAGGGAAGCGCUUGCAGCCAGACUUGCUUACAGUUGCUCAUCCGGGUUUUUACCCGGUGCACUCUUCUGUAGGCAGGCCAGCAUCAGUUUGGGCGGUAGGAUAAAGGUCUCUGUCACGUACCUCCUUUCGGGGAGGCCUUAUAGGGGAGACGACAUACUACCAGCCUGGACUGAGGUCCGCGCAUCUGCUAGGAUGCUGGCGUAAUGGCUGU